ensembl:lncRNA
GUUUAUAGCAGCCCUUGUCUUUGCAGGGAAAAAAAUUCUGUUAUGGAAUAGCUUUCUUUUAUGAGCACCGGCAGGGUUUCUGGGAGAGAAGGCGAUCUUAAGAGUUUUUAAGGGCUGAGGUUCCAAGAGUCUUAAGUAAGGGCCAGGAGCUUUGUCAGAGCUCACUGCUUCCUUUGCCUCAUAAAACUGCUAUCUCCAUCCAUCUCUGUUUAUUUUUCUCCUGCUUUUUAAUUUGCCUAAUGGACUUCAGCUGAAGACUUUCCUCAGCGUCUGAGGCAAGUCAAGUCUAAUAAAGCCCUGAGGACUUAGCUGGCUGAGUUCAGCACUUUUGGAUGAUUUUUGUCUGACUUUCAUCUUUGCUGCUGCCGAGUGGAUGGCUGUGGAGCACCCUGGACCCGGCCUGGAGGACCUGGAGCCUGGGAAGCUGACACUGGAUGAGUCAUUCUUGUCUCCUCUGGACGGCCUCUGGUUGGCUGGUCUCUGCAGGGCAAGCCUGGACCAGAAAAUCUCAAGAAUAGGAGUGAUCACCAAGCCCCCUCGUCACCUCCUCUCCGGGAGACUGAAGCUGAUGGCAGAUGAUGACAGCGCCCUGGACUCAGAGCUUCCGGCUUGGUUGUGCUAGGGAGUGAGUGAGGAUGUGAGGUCUCCCUCACGGCCUGUCCACCCUGGGCAGGCCUCUGGAAGGGCCAGCAAGUGCUAGCAGAGAACCCCUGCCCGAACCUCCAUGGGGGUCUGCAGGCUGAUUUGUGAAGAGUGUGAAGAAGGAGGAGAAGGUGGCGCUCUGCCCUGUACUGGAGAGUCACCUGUGUUU